GUCCACCCCGUAAACGUUGGGAACUAGUUGUGGGGUCCAUUCCACGGAUUCCGUGACGCAGCUAACGCAUUAAGUUCCCCGCCUGGGGAGUACGGCCGCAAGGCUAAAACUCAAAGGAAUUGACGGGGACCCGCACAAGCGGCGGAGCAUGCGGAUUAAUUCGAUGCAACGCGAAGAACCUUACCAAGGCUUGACAUAUACGAGAACGGGCCAGAAAUGGUCAACUCUUUGGACACUCGUAAACAGGUGGUGCAUGGUUGUCGUCAGCUCGUGUCGUGAGAUGUUGGGUUAAGUCCCGCAACGAGCGCAACCCUCGUUCUAUGUUGCCAGCACGUAAUGGUGGGAACUCAUGGGAUACUGCCGGGGUCAACUCGGAGGAAGGUGGGGAUGACGUCAAAUCAUCAUGCCCCUUAUGUCUUGGGCUUCACGCAUGCUACAAUGGCCGGUACAAAGGGCUGCAAUACCGCGAGGUGGAGCGAAUCCCAAAAAGCCGGUCCCAGUUCGGAUUGAGGUCUGCAACUCGACCUCAUGAAGUCGGAGUCGCUAGUAAUCGCAGAUCAGCAACGCUGCGGUGAAUACGUUCCCGGGUCUUGUACACACC
rnacentral:rRNA from 1 species